CCUACGGGAGGCAGCAGUGGGGAAUAUUGGACAAUGGUCGCAAGCCUGACCCAGCAACGCCGCGUGACGGAAGAAGGCUUUCGGGUUGUAAACUUCUUUUCUCAGGUACGAAACAAGUACCUGUACCUGAGGAAUAAGCCACUGCUAACUCCGUUCCAGCAGCCGCGGUAAUACGUCGGGGGCAAGCGUUAUCCGGAUUUACUGGGUGUAAAGUGCGUGUAGGCGGGGACGCAAGUCAGAUGUGAAAACCACGGGCUCAACCUGUGGCCUGCAUUUGAACCUUUGUUUCUUGAGUACUGGAGAGGCAGACGGAAGUGCGAGUGUAGCGGUGAAAUGCGUAGAUAUUAGGAGGAACACCAGUGGCGAAGGCGGUCUGCUGGACAGCAACUGGCGCUGAGGCGCGAAAGCGUGGGGAGCAAACAGGAUUAGAUACCCCAGUAGUC
rnacentral:rRNA from 1 species